UAGCCCACAAGUUACUUAAACUGGCAUGCCCAUUGUUUUUACAAUGAAUUAAAUGGCUUUUUUUUACUGCGUUUGCCACAGUAUUCAAUCCUACACGUUAUUUUACUACAGUACAGUAGGCGGCGGUAUACUGUACUGUGCAGUUCGUGUCCGCAUCGUCAUACGCGCCAGUAUUGCUGGAAGACUGCAGGAACAGAACCCCCUGGAAAGAUGAGUUCCUUAUUAAAGAAAGGCUUGAUGCUGUUUACUCCACACUCUUAGGCUGACUUUGUAUUAUUUGUCUGUGAAGACAGUUCACAGUUUCUGAAUCCCAUCAAGAAUGAAGACCUGCAGGCCACCAUAUUGAGAUGGUCCGAUGUCAUGAUAUGGCGCUUUUCCAAUGUAGGGUACAACUUGGCUCGGCACGAUGCAGCUCAGCUCGCUUUCGUUGCUUUUCCAGUACAGUUUAGUGUCGCUUCAGAGUGGGUGAGAUUAUAGGCAGGGGUGCACAUAACUGGUGCGUAUGCUCAAAUAGAAAAAAUUCUAGCGUACCAACGUUGCUGGAAUUUUGUUACAUAGUUAGCUAAUUUACUUUGACAUAAGAGAUUUCUUCGUGCAUCAGUGGUAAGAUAAUUAAUGUGUGUUGUUAGCAGUGAUCCGCAUCUCAAUGCUUCAGACAGCUUGCUAGUACAAGUAUACAUUUAUAUGAGUUAGGCUAGUAGUUAUUUAUAAAGAUUAGAUAAGUAAAAAACAAUAACCAGGGUUAUUUUAUGUACAUCAUUGUCUACCAUGUUUAAACAAAAGCGAUAUGGCAAAGAGAGUAGUCAGGAGAAAAGUGAUAAUGUCAGCAUGUAGGAUGUCUGUGCUAUGAAUAGUGUGAGUACCAAGUAACAUCUCCAGGUACUUCUUUGAGAACCAGGACAAAAAAAGUUAUGUGCACCCCUGAUUAUAGCCUUAUUGUUAAAGUUGCGUCCUCUCUACUGCCGUAACAUCAUCGUAAAUGUGAUACAAACACACACACACACACACAACAUGGAGCAACAGAGCAUAUUAAUGGAAUGCAGCCACAAAAUCAAAAUUGACAGCCACAAGUAGAUUUUCCACUACCUCUCUCACAUGACAGGUUCUAUACAAACACCCGUGUCAUCAGUACCUGUACUCCGCUGACAGAACAUUUACGCCUAUACUUUUGGUGCGUUUUGAAUGCGGAGCCAUGCGCAAAGUUACAAAACUGCCAUCCAGACAUGGGCGCGGUGGUGUGCUCUGCAUUUUUGUAACUUUGCACAUGGCUUCGCAUCCGAAACCCAUUACCCCUUCCCCAAAAGUGAGCUGUGCUGAACUGGGUCAUACUAUGCAAUGGAAAAGCGCCAAAAGUGUCCUACUUCCUGGCUUGAAUGAUUUAGAAUUUUCAGCGUUGGACUUGUGUUCCGCGUGUUUGGCCUCUUUAGCACUUGCUGUUUGAAAGUCAUUGCUUGCAACAGAUUGAGUGAAUGUCAUUCUGCAUUUCUGUUUGCAUUGCUUUGCUUGCAUUUGAAUCCUUUGCAAUAAUAAAAGUUUUACAUUUGA